GGUCUGGUAGUUCAGCUGGUUAGAAUGCCUGCCUGUCACGUAGGAGGUCGCGGGUUCGAGUCCCGUCCAGACCG
rnacentral:tRNA from 1 species